GAAGAAGUAGGUAAGGGAGGAAGAGAGAUAUCAGAAAGAAAAGAAAGAGAAGAAGGAAAAGAAAGAGAAGAAGGAAGAGAAGGAGGAAGAAGAGGAGAAGAAGAAGAAGACUCAUGGGAGAAGAAGAAGGAAGCCAUGGAAGCACCACCAUCUCAUCUUCAUCAUCACCAACUUCAUCAUCUUCUUCUACUAGGUGAGUUCUUAGAU
rnacentral:lncRNA from 1 species